GCAGGCCGAGCUGCCCUUCCCUCCCUGCUGCCCCCAGGGAAGGCUGCUGGUGUCCUCAGAUGCGGGCAGGAGGAACCCGCCAGCGCCUGAGAGCCUGGCCCGAACCAGGCCUGGAGGUGCUGGGGCGAAGACACAGAGGAUGUGGCCUCCAUCCCUGGUAACAGACGGUUACCAGGGCGGCUUUGGGUGAGGACAUUGAAAAAGGUCAGACUCCCUGGGAGCAGCGCCCUGGACUCCAUUCUCAUCACAGGUAUAUUUGUGUGGCUACUAAGAGUAAGAGCCUGGGGGUGCAGGAGUGAUUCCAGCCCCCUCCUACAAAGUCAUGUGAGAGGGAUCUGAAGAAAAUCCAGGGGAAAAUGUACCACAGCGAGGAAAUCGCCAUCUAAAGGGCUGAACGCUCAAGAACGGCGUUGGGUGGGCUCCGCGUUGGAGUUGAGUCCCGAAGGAUGUUCUAACAGCAAAGGGGAGAAAGGAAGAGAGAAGCCAAGGCGUGCGGGCAACGUGAACCGCAUGAGCCGAGGCAAAGGGGCAGCGUGGGGCUGGACCCUGGAGUCUGCUCCUGUCUGAAUUCUAGUGCUGUCACUGACUAGCAAGGAACUUCCCUGUGCCUCGUGGCUGUCACAUGGAAAGACAGCACCGCCAUCCAGCCCUUAUACCGUAAGGGUUAUAUGAACUAGCACUGUGGGCAUUAGCAGAGCAUGCUGUACACUUUGGUAUAUUGUGAGAAUGAAAUAAAUCAACAAAUGCAAAGCAGGUUUUGCAUAACAAAGACUAAACAAGUGUUAGUUAGCUCCUUUCCUCCUUCCCGCCUGUGAAAAUGCUGUCUUAUGAUGUCCUUUAAUUAUUUCGUGUGGUUAAGCUUCAGCUUAUUGGCCAGUUCAUCCUUGUAGAUACAAGUAUUUUUAAAGCCUCCAAUUUUAAUUUCCUCACAGACCAUUGCUGUACUUGUCCUUACAUCUACUUCAUACUGAAAUUUUCUUUCUGUUUCUUUAUGUCUCUGCAUCUAGACCAGUGGUUCCCAAUUGAAGUCAGUUUUGCUCCUCAGGGCACACUUAACAACAUCUGGAGACAUUUUUAAUUGUCCUGACCGAGAGGACAAUGCUACUGGCAUCUAGUGGACAGAGGCCAGGGAUACUGCUGAACAUCCCGCAGUGCACAGGACGCCUGCAACACAGAUUAUCCAGCCCCAAACGUCAAUAGUGCCGGAGUUAUGGAACCCUAAUGAAGACAAUUCUUGAAGGCAUAGACUGAAUCUUAUUUAUCUUUGUUUCCCUCAUGUCUCACAAGCAGAGUAUGAGUUCAGCAAAUAGGAGUUGAACAGAAAUCAGGAGGAGGUGCUGAUUGACAGGAAAAAAGAAAGAUUUAGUUUAGAGCUGAGAAUUCAGCUGGACAGCCAUAGGGGCUCUGGCAUGGAGACUGGAAGUCAGAAGAGAAUUUGCAGCAAGACAUUUAGAGCCAUUUAUCCAGCCAUCAUAAUUUUAUUGAGUAACUAUUUUGUGUGAGGCACUGUACUGGAUGCUUUGGCAACAGAGAUAAGCAAGGCAACCCCUGUGAAUAAGGCACUCCUGGUCUACACACAGUGGGAGAAACAUAGAAAUUCAUCUCUUCUGAGCGGAGCCUGUGGGAACCCAGAGGAUGGACACCCAGCGUGGUCUGAGGAAUCAUGGGCCAAAACAGGAGGCAUCAGGAGAGAUCUCUUGGGUAAAGAAGAGUGAGGGCUGGAAGGAUAUUCCAGGCAGUGGGAACAACUUACAUAAAGUGAGAAUAUUGCAAAUGCCUAGCGGGUCUGUAGUGAGAGGGUCAUGAGGCGGAGGAGUGAGGUGCGUAGCAAGGAAUAGCAGGUGGGGCCAGAGCAGUAAAAUUAACCAUUGUUCUAUUUGAAGAAGGGUAGGACGCAUUUUUAGGUUUUUUGGCUAUUUCUCCUUUUGGUAAUAGCAUCUAUUUUCUUUAGAGAAUUAUCUCUUCCCCCUCACUCCUCUCCUAGUGGAGGUACAGGCAUGAGAAAAAGCUAAACCAAUGACAUGUUCUCAAAUAUAACUUACAAUCCCAGGAGUCAUGAUGAAAUGGUUGAAAAAAAAAAUAGUUGAAGCUCACUAACCUUAGCAUCACAUUUCAAUGAGAUUGUCAAAUAAUUCUUGUUUCCCAGGCCCCCAGAGCUGCCGAGUUUCUGACUUCUCUAAGCCAGGUUCACAAGCCUUCCCUUCAAUUCUGUGAGGAUUUUUUUCCCCAUUUUUCCUGAAGUUACGUGGUCACUUUCUGUUACUUGCAACCAGAGUAACUUAAUUGAUAAAGUCAGUGAGGAAGGAAUAGAAUACAACAAAUGGCUUAAAAACAGAAGGCCAAGCGUGAUGGCUCAUUCCUGUAAUCCCAGCACUUUGUGAGGCCGAGGCAGGUGGAUUGCUUGAGCUCAGGAGUUCAAGACCAACCUGGGCAACAUGGCAAAACCCCAUCUCUACCAAAAAUACAAAAAAUUAGCCGGGCGUGGUGGCUCACACCUGUAGUCCCAAUUUCUCAGAAGGCUGAGGUGGGAGGAUCACUUGAACCCAGGAGGAGGAGGUUUCAGUCAGUAGAGAUUGAACUACUAUACUCUAGCCUGGAUGACAAAGUAAGACCUUGUCAAAAAAAAAAAAAAAAAAAAAAAAAAAAAAAGAAGGAUAAUCAAGACAAUGAGCUAACACAGAAGCCAUAGUGGACUUUCUUCAAUAUUUUAAGAAAGGUGAAAAAUAGCAGGAAUUUAACCUCUCAAAAAUGCUAUUCCCAUUAUCUAUUCUUCCUCAGCUACAAAGCCCCUGAUUUCACCUAGGCACAUGGCUGCCCAAAAAAGACAACCCUGUCUGGCCCCCCUUAAACCUGAUUGUAGCUAUCUAAGUUGUAGCCAAUGAGGUGUCAGAGGAAGUACCAUGCAGUGCAACUUCUUAAGUAGCCUAGAAAGAUGGGGUCACAUCCCCCUGGGUUGUUUCCUUCUUUGUGUCAUUUUGAUCUCUCUCGCUGGAAAACAGAAAUGAUGUCUGGAGUGUAAGCAGCCAUCUUGGGCUAGGAGACUACAUGCUGACAUGGUGACACACCACCCAGAAAGAAUCUGAGUAGUCGAUGAUCACAGAGCUACCAUAUCAGCACUAGACUCUCUACCUCCACAUUUUAUUUGUGUGACAUAGAAAUAAAGUUUAAGCUUUGUUUUUUCUGGGGUGUAUGUGUGUACACAUGUGCGUCUCUGUCUGUCUCACAUGCAGUGAGACCUAAUUCUAACUGAUAUGCCGGUAGGAUGGGGGGACCUUGCCACAAGGUAUAAUUGUGGUGGGAUGGCUGUGUCUUGCUCCCAUUCAGGAUCCAUGGAAAGCUCCUCCUCCUUCCUGUUCCCCUGGAUGCCAAGCGAUGGGCCUGAGACCCUGGCUUUGCCAUGUGGAUGCUCCCCCUCAGGACUUUGGAUGUGCAGUGAUUGCUACAAAAAGGGCAAUGAAGAUGCCUGGACCACAGCCACACAGUCUCCAUCACAGCAGUGGUAUUCUGUGGAAUGAGUACUAAUUUUCUGGCCACAUUUUCUGUUAAAAACUGGUUGUUGAGCUGCCCACUUGUCUUGGUCAAGGGAUGCUGGAGUGGCCUGGGAAGGCAGUGUUGUUUGCUUUUCUUAGGAUGGAACACACUUAGGCAUAUUUUUGGUCAAAGCAAAAGAAGAAUUCAAAGGUGAGAGAAGUUGAAGAUAAAAAGGGGAAAAUGAGGGUAGCAGAUGAAGCAAAGUCACACAGAAAGCUGGCAGGCGAGUAGUAGAAUCAGAGUACAGGCUGAGCAUCCCAAAUCUGAAAAUCCAAAAUCGGAAGUGCUCCAAAACCUGAAACUUUUGGAGCACCAACACAAUGCUCAAAGUAAAUGCUCAGUGAAGCAUUUUGGAUUUCAUAUUUUCAGAUUUGGGUUUGCCCAACCGGUGUAAUACAAAUAUUCCAAAAUCAAAAAAAAAAAAAAAAAAAAAUCUAAAGUCUGAAACACUCCUGGUCCCAAGCAUUUUGAAUACAGGAUACUCAACCUGUAUGACACUUUCCUAUUGGACCCUCUUUCCUACCCCAAAUAAUACUUAAUAAGUUUUUGUUUCAAAAGUGCCACUCUGAGCAUCUUUGGCUAUAAGGAGCAGAGUCACAUUCUAGCUCCCCUGGCACCUGCUUCACAGGAGCCCAUGUGAGAAGACCAGGUUCUGGUCAGGACAGGCAUACCUGAGAGCUGUUGGGGUCUGUGAUCUGCUGAAAAAUGACUUCUCAAUGUUCUUCACAUCCUAAUCCUCAGAAACUGUGAAUAUAUUACUUUAUAUGACAACAGGGAUUUUAAAGAUGUGAUUAAGUAAAUAGUUUGGAGAUGGACAGAUUAUCCUGGAUUAUCCAGAUGGGCCCAAUGUAAACACAAGGGCCCUCAUGAGAGGGAGGCAAGAGGGUCAGAGAAGAUGCUGUGACAGCAGAAGCAGAGGACAGAGAGUCGCAGAGAGAUUUGAAGAUACUACACAGCUGGCUUUGAAAAUGCAGGAAAGGGCCAUAUCUGUUGCUUCACACCACUAAGUUUGUGAUAAUUUGUUACAGCAGCAGUGGGAAACUAAUAGAGCAUCUUUCCUUUUUUUCUAGUUAAAGGACUCACUUGUACGUGUACACAUUUCUCAGGAGUCCUGUCAACCACUGGGAAGAAAGAGGCUGGACUUCUGCAUUGAACCCAGGAACGGGGUUUCACAGCAAUGGAAACCUGGGGUUAAAUAUCAAUGGAACCUUACAUGACUUGAAGAAUCUUUAAUACAAGCUAGGUUUUGACCCCAAAUUAGACAUUUGGCAGCCUCUCAUUACAGUCUAUCUUGCAAACCUCAGUGUGGCAAGGAAUCAGAUUCACCCACACUCCCUAGUCUAAAGGAUUGUCCUCUGAUCCUUCCAGGUGGAUUAAGCCCUUUCUAAUCUGUCAUGGACAGAGCAAUGUACCUGCCUUUGUUUGUUUUCCUUAAUUCUUUCAAGUGCCUUUGGGUAAUAAAUGGUUGCGUACUCAGGUUUUUAGUCCAAAUUUUUUUUCUUCAACUCUAGGUAAUUGCUUUACUUGCCAGAAUAGGUUACCAUAGCAAUAUUUUCUGAGCAAUAGGUGAACUGAAUUGUACUAUUGAGGAAGCCCAGGAGAAAAAUACUAAUAACAACCUGAGAAAGUCUAAUCACUUUAUGGAGCCUCAGGGCUGUGAAGAGGGGGAUAAGACGGACUCCCUGGGUGAUUAGGAAGUGCUGCUGCCAGCUCACACAGGACGCAAUGUGAGAAGCCACCCAUGGUCCCCAAAUUCCCCCAUCUCCUGAUAUCCAAGUCCCCCAUCCAAGCUGCUUAAAUGACAAAAGACAAAUGUAAACUGGGGAAACAUUUGAAAUGCAUAUCAAAAAGGGGUAUUUCACAAAGCUCUCCAACAGGAGGCCUAGGAAGAUGGUAACAGCGAUACCAGAAUAAUGUUUGGAUCUUCCAGAGUGCCCAUGUGAAAACAGAGCAACCAAACUGAAAAGCCAUGGACAACAAAAGUCGGUGACAAAGUGUCACCUUGAAUCCUGAAAUACAAGUAAGUGGAAUUGCUGGUCGUAAUUCUACGAUUAGCUUAUUAAGAAACUGCCAGCUUUGCACAGCAGCUGCACCAUUAUUUAUUACAUUUCAUGAGAGCUGCAAGUUUUUUGCCUCCUUGCUAACACUUGUUAUUUAUAUUUUUCAUUUUUCUUAUAGCCAUCCUGGUGGGUAUAAAAUAAUAUCUCAUUAUGGUUUUGAUUACAUUUUCCUAAUGACUCAUAUCACUUAGCAUCUUUUUAGGUGUUUGUUGGCCAUUUGUAUAUCUUCUUUAGAGAAAUAUCUUUUCAGAUCCUUUGCCCUUUUAAAAAUUGGGAAAUUUAAAUUGCUGAGUUGAAAAAGUUCUUCACAUAUGUUGGAUACUAGACUCUUAUCAAAUAUAUAAUUUGCAAAUAUUUUCUCCCAUUCUGUGGGUUGUCUUCACUUUCUUAGUAGUGCACAACUUGUCAACUUGUCCUUUGAUGCACAAGUUUCAAAUUUUGACAAGCCCAAUUUAUCCAUUGUUUUCUUUUGUUGCUUGUGCCUUCGGUGUCAUAGUUAAGAAACCAGUGCACAAGCUACUGCUCUGAAGAGUUUCCUCUAUGUUGUCUCCUAAGAGUUUUAUAUUUUUAGCUCUUAACUUUCAGUCUUUGAUAGAUUUUGAGUUAAUGUUUGCAUUAGGUAUGAGAUAAGGAUUCAACAUCUUUCUUUUACAUGCGGAUGUUCCAGAACAAUUUGUUGAAGAGAGUGUUCCUUUUCCCAUAGAAUGGUCUUGGCACUGUUCAAAAAUCAAUUGACCAUUGAUAUAUGAAUUUAUUUAUGAACUCUCAAUUCUGUUCCAUUGGUGUAUAUGUGUAUCCUGAUGCCAGAACCACACUUUUUUGAUUACUGUAGCUUUGCAGUCAGUUUUGAUCCUGUGAAUUAUGAGUCAUUCAACUUUAUUCUUUUCUCAAAAUUGUUUUGGCUAUUCCAGGUUCUUGAGAUUCCAUAUAAAUUUUAGGACUGAGUUUUCUAUUUCUGAAAAAAAAAGGCUGUUGUGAUUUUGAUAUGGAUUGCAUUAAAUCUAUAGAUUGCUUUGAGAAGUAAUGAUACCUUAAUAAUAUAAUGUUGUCUUUCAAUGUAUGAA
rnacentral:lncRNA from 1 species